UGGAUCUAUUCAGUGCUGAGACCGUGGCCCUGGGCGACUGCUUGGCCUGGAUUUAUUGAGCCUUAAUUAAAGAGUCUGAAUGGAAGCAGACAAUUGACCUUUCAGUUUCUACUUCUCAGGACCGGAAGUUCUGAUCCUGACCCGUGCCCAAGUGCGCCACAGGUGUCCUCUUGUGCGCACAGAGCAGCAACUAAACAUCGACUUGUGGAGAGGGGGAAGGAUGACACCAAAUCCUCCCCUGAAUGGAGGAAUAACGAAGCCAACAUGUCAUGGUGGAGCAGUGUGCGCGGCCUGUCGCCUCCAGCAUGGCUGCCUCACAAAGGCCAUCAGAGUUCCGCUGAGACCGCACAGAGCCGAGGCCUGUCUGUCAGUGCGUGGGUGGAUAUGUGUGUGCAUAACGGGGAGAGAAGGAGAGAGAGAAAGAGAGAGAGUUGCCUACUUAAUGCUGACUGGUCAGUUCCGGGCCGUAGGUCCAGAUGGCCCAGUUUGGCCUCUGAUUUCUCAGGCCAUUGUCCAGGAAGAAGCUGCUGCAGUGCUGUAGCUAACGGGGAUCCUAAUAAAGAUCCCACAUCAGUCCCACCUACAUCUGCCGUCUGUCUGUUAUUCCCAGGACACCAUGCUCAGACUGCUGUCUCCAUGGCGAGGGCUGCUUCCUGUCAUCGGAAGGCUGGGCUUCCUGUGCUGAGGGCGCCGUUACAGUUGGUGUGUGUGUAUUGUAGAUUCCUCAUAUUGGAUACUUUACAGCAUCAAGCAGAUGGGAAAGUCCAUACAUUCAUAUACAAUAAAAAGAAAACAUAUCCAUGUACUGGUGUUGGUGGUACAUUCUACGUAGGGACUAAAAUAUUUGCAUUAAAGCAAAUCUGAAUUUACCCCUGACCCCGAAAAAUCUCACUGGCCAUUCUUCAUCCCAUUGUUCCAAUGGCAGCAGCUCAGGGAGGCAGAAACAGCAUCCAGGAAGCUGUUUGAAUCCACAAAAAGUCGUGCACACUGUAUGACUCACCCUCUCAUCUAGAUUAGACCCCUGCUAGCACGAAACCAAAAAGAUAGAGCCGAACUGACUAGGGGUGGGUGAUGUUAAGGGCGAAGCUAAAGGUGGAGGGAGCCUCUCAAAAUAGCAGACGCAGGCCAAAGCCAUUGUCUGAACUGUUCUAGUGUCUGUUCUCUUCCUCCUGUAGACUACUCCAUCCCUGUCCGCCACACCCCUACUACUACUACACUGACUGGACAGUAGACACACAGGCACCAGGGGGGAAACCAUUUCACUGCAUGCUAUUCUUUGAGGACAGCUAUUGUAAAGCGUCAAAUCGGACAAUAGGAGGGGGCUUUCAGUGAAAUAAAUUUUGCAAAUGAGUG